UAAAUGGGGGCCGGAUAGAGGCGUUUGAUUGUUGUUCAAAAGGGUAUGUUUUCAUCUGUUUAG
rnacentral:tRNA from 1 species